rnacentral:lncRNA from 1 species
CCAACAGGACAGCAUAUCAGAGCACCCUGUCUAGGCAAUUAAGCUAGUUCUCAUCUCUGUUCUUUUGCACAAAGGUAACGAUGCUAGUAGCAGGCCCUUCAAGUAGGGCUUAGAAAGUGGUGGGGUAGUGGCCUGGGCAUACUGGUCUCACUUCUAAAGAGACUGCUGAUCCAGGGCCAAAGACCAAGAUCGAGGAUGACUGAGCCAGGAAGGCUGCAACCCAAGUCAUUCCCAACUGCUGGUACUAAUCGACUGUUUGGUCUCUGGUAUUUAUGGUCAAAUUUCCAUCAUAGGGAGUGCCAGUCCCUAGGAGCCCACUAGGUCCAGGCCAUUUUGUGUGAGCACCUGGGGAAAAAGAGGUUAGGUUAGUGCUCCAGAUCUAGAGAACCCAACUGGCUAAGGGCCCUUUAUCUGUUGUGGCCCCACCUUCAACAUUGAAGCCUAUCUCUGCUUUUCCAGACACUAUUCUCCGAGGUCCAACUUCACAGUGAGGAGGGCAAGACACCUUAACAGAAGGUCAUUUUCCCUUAGAUUCUUCUAAGGCUUAGAAGAACAGAAGGAACAUAAAUGCCUUUAAUUUGCAGGCUGAGUUGGAUGAAACAAAGAUCUUAGACUCUCAGAGGCCGUCUUCGCUGUAUUAUGGAGGAGCUUCUCCCUAAGAGACAAGCCUUAGCCAAUUCUCUUAAAAAGACCAUCUGGGCGGUCAAGAGCUGAAUGCCGCUUGGUUUUCCCUUCUCCUUGCUUUGACUGGGACCCAAAAUAUGACAAUCGUUCUGAUUCAAGGUAGGGGGGCGUUCCUCAUUCCCGGAUGUCCUCCCAAAGGCAGAUACCCAUGCCCUUACCCGCGGCGCGUGAAUACGAAGGGAGGCACUGCUCGGGCUCGAGACCGCACCAAAGAUUGCUCAGCGCCUGCCGCCUCUGGGCCGCCGCCCCCCGUAGUGGAGGCAAAGGGCCAGAGGCCCCGAGCUUUGGAGCCGCUGGCGCCCAUGUCAGCGCCGCCGGCGCAUGGCGGACCGAGCGGCCG